rnacentral:rRNA from 1 species
UGGUAGCUCGAGCACACCAGGCGCGUGAAGACCGUGGGUGCACGUGUUGUUCCGAAUUACGGUGCGUAAAGGGCCAGUCGGCGGCCGGCGAAGUCGUACGUGAAAUCCCCAGGCUUAACCUGGUAACUGCGUCGGAUACUGGUUGGCUUGAAUUCGGUAGAGGUAUGCAGAAUUCCAUGUGUAGCGGUGAAAUGCGUAGAUAUCUGGAGGAAUACCGGUGGCGAAGGCGGCAUCCUGGACCGACAUUGACGCUGAACGGCGAAAGCUAGGGGAGCAAACGGGAUUAGAUACCCGAGUAGUC